AUCUUCUUUGGCUUUGCCAAAAAGGGGGAAAGUUGGGAAAUUCAGAAGUCAGAGAGAAACCUUUUCUUGAGGUUGCUCCUGUCCUCUAACUCUUGACUGAUGAUGGAACAACAAAGGAUCACCAGAAGUCAGAAGGAUGACGUUUCAGAUGAGACCUCAAUUUAACGGAACACAAGUGAGAGUGGAACAAGCUUAGGAACAUGA
rnacentral:lncRNA from 1 species